ensembl:misc_RNA Metazoa_SRP Metazoan signal recognition particle RNA
GCUGGGUGUGGUGGUGCACACCUGUAAUCCCAGUGAGUCAGGAGGCUGAGGCAGGAGAAUCACUUGAGCCCCGGAGGUGGAGGUUGCAGUGAGUCGAGAUGUCACCACUGCACUCCAUCCUGGGCAACAGAGUGAGACCUUGUCUCAA